UACGUAGGGUGCAAGCGUUGUCCGGAAUUAUUGGGCGUAAAGAGCUUGUAGGCGGUUUGUCGCGUCUGCUGUGAAAUUUCGGGGCUCAACCCCGAACUUGCAGUGGGUACGGGCAGACUAGAGUGUGGUAGGGGAGACUGGAAUUCUGGUGUAGCGGUGAAAUGCGCAGAUAUCAGGAGGAACACCGAUGGCGAAGGCAGGUCUCUGGGCCAUAACUGACGCUGAGAAGCGAAAGCAUGGGGAGCGAACAGG
rnacentral:rRNA from 1 species